GCCAAAGUGGUGAAAAUCAGGUAAACACGUUGGGUUUAGAUUCCAAAGCAGUUUUAAAAGCAUGUAGGUUCAAGUCCUAUCUUUGGUA
rnacentral:tRNA from 1 species